GGUAUGUGAGAACUCUCUGCACUUGCUGUGCAAUUUUUCUGUAAACCUAAAACUGCUCUAGAAAAUAAGGUGUAUUUAAAAAAAAAAAAAAUUGUGAAAGCAGCCCAUAAUCUGAGACACUCCACAAGGCCUUGGGAGUGAGGAAACUCCCUGUUUUCUCAGGAUAAUCAGGGAAUGGAGUGGGUAAAGACCUUGUCUUACAUUUGGGCAUAUAGAGUACUAUUUUUUAUAAAGUCUGUUUCAUCCUGUGAAUAGCACAAACGUCUUUAUAUAUAUAUACACACACACAUAUAUAUUUGGGGUGAUGUUCUUGUCUUUUAUUGUGAUUUAGGUGAAAGUUUACAGCACAAGUUAAUUUCUCCUACAAAAAUGUAUACACAUAUUGUUAUGUGACACUAGUUGGACUCCUAUAAUGUGACAGCACACUUCCCCCACUUCGUGUGUCCAUUAAACCAGCUCCUGUCCCUUCCUGCCUUCUCAUCCUGCCUCUGGGCAGGAGCUGCCCAUUUGGUCUCGUGUAUCUGCUUGAACUAUGAAGCACACUCUUCAGGAGUUAUUAUUUCCUGUUUUACAGUUCAGUCUAAUCUUUGAAGAGUGGGCUUCAGGAAUGGUUUUGGUUCUGGAUUAAUAGAGUGUCCGGGGGUCAAUGUAUUUUUUGAUGUUAAAAGGUUUAAGUUGCUAAAUUUAUACAUUCAAAUUAACAUGUAAAAGUCUGUAUUUCUAUUUUUUAAUCUUACAUAAGCUGUGAGGCUCCAGAAUGUAAAUGAAGCCUGCCUGCGUUGGUCUGUCUCCCCACAUACAGAGAUCUCUGUCCUUCUUGUCCUUUUAAGUUCCUGCAAUUAUCAGGUGUCCUAACAGCUCUUGACCUCACAUCGCCACAAGUCAAUAGUGUGGGAUGCAAAUUCAUUUCAUAAUAUUUGCCAUUUUAAAUUUACUUCUUGUUUUGUUUUGCUCUAAUUUAAGGAGAGUCGAACAGUUUCUCUUGCUCUCUGAACUGAGCUUAUACCAAUUUGCUUAACUUUUCAAGCAGUUCUCAGCGUGACCAAAAAUGGAAAGGCCAAGCAUUAAGGGGAAUUCAGGAACCUGGCCUGUCCCAAGCAGCAAGUUCAUGCUGGAAAAUGGGCCUGUCAAGGAAGGUCUAUCUAUGUCCCUGGUGGAGAGAGAAGAGGAAGGCUGAGGAUGGAGAGAAGGCUGGCUCAGACCACACCUAUUGCUGCAACCCCUUCCUGCCAGGUGGGGACUCUCCAUGCUCACACCUCAACUGCUCCUCCGGGUGCUUUCCUCUAUUUCAUUUCUAGAUUUCCAGCCUGGCAUUUCCUAGUGCCAAAGUGUCCCUCUCUCAACAUGCCACUGGAAUGUAUGCCAUUUUCUGGGCAUACCUUUCAUACAGAAUCAAGGCUCACAUCUCCUUUGUAAGGGGAGGAGAGGAAGCAGGGAUGGAAAACCCAAAUCUUCAAAUAACUGAAAACUAAUCACACUUGAAUAAGGCUGUGGUCAGACACAUUCAACAACCAGGUUUUCCGAGGGACUUUCCUCUGUAAGCUUCCAGGUUUUCAAAACUGUUUUCUACCACCACCAAGAUAUGGAGAAUAACUCCGGCUAGCUUGAGGAAAUCAACACUAUGGAGAUCAAUAUAAUUGUACCCCUUCUACCUGGCAAGAGUCCUCUUAUCUGUUUCCCGACCAAAAUACCAGUUUCAGGAAAUAUCACCAUUAGGCAAUCUGUGUUUGGCUGUAGAAAAGGAUUUGAGACUUUGCCCUUGAAGAAGAAGAAAAAGAGAAAAAAAAAAAAAAUCCCCC